rnacentral:lncRNA from 1 species
UCAAAACAGGUUUGAUACAUCUACUACCUAAAUUUAGAGGUUUGGAGCAUGAAAAUCCACAAAGCACUUGAAGGAAUUUCAUUUUGUUUGUUCAUCCAUGGGACCACAAGGCAUAUCUGAAGAGCAUGUUAAAUUAAAAGCAUUCCCAUUCUCACUUGAUGAUUAUGCCAAAGAUUGGUUAUUUUACUUGCCACCUGGAUCAAUCACUUCUUGGGAAGGUAUGGUAAGAGCCUUUCUGAAUAAAUAUUUUCUAACUUCUAAAAUAAUAGGCAUAAGAAGAGAGAUUAGUUGCAUUAAGCAAGAAGAAACUGAAGAUUUGUAUGAUUACUGGGAAAGAUUUAAUAGAUUGUGUACAAAUUGUCCUCAACAUGACAUUUCAAAAAGAUCACUCAUAGAAUUCUUCUGUGGAGGUUUGCUACCAUCCGAAAGGAAAUUUAUUGAUGUAGCAUGUAGAGGUUCAAUUAAAGAUAGCACACCUCAAGCAAUUAGAGAGUUGAUUUCAAGACUUGCAGUAGCAUCUAGACAAUAUGGAGAUGAAAAGCAAUUGCAAAAAGGAGUCAAUGAGGUAGGUACAUCUGUUCUCACUUCUCAAAUUUCUGAACUAACCUCUGCUUUGAAAAGUCUUGUUAUAGGUUAAGCUCAACAACUUCAACAAGUACAUGCAUUUGAAGGAUCCUAUGGACAACCAAGACAUGAUCCUUACCUUGACACCUACAAUCCAUGUUGGGGAGACCAUCCGAAUUUUGGCUAUGCUAGGGCUAACAACUACCAGGACUAUCAAGGAUAUCAAGCCCAACCAGCACCUCCAAGUUCCAACCAACACCUUGAGAAGAUGAUGGAGACAUUGGCAAGUUCUAUGCAAAGCAUCCAACAGUAGAUAGAACAAAUGACCACCUCAUUAAAUGCAAACAUGUUAAGGAGAGAGGAAGAGUUUCAAGAUGAUAAGACAAAUGAUGAAAGUUCACAAGUACAACAACAAGCUGCUGAAGAGAAACAACCAGAAAAUUGUUUGCCUAAACAAACUGAUCAAACAUAAUCUGUUGAUAAUUUAGAUAUCAUUGAUUGUUUGAGUGAAAAUGUUUUUUCUGUAAAUCA